GUGCCAGCAGCCGCGGUAAUACAGAGGGUGCAAGCGUUAAUCGGAAUUACUGGGCGUAAAGCGCACGCAGGCGGUUGGUUAAGUCAGAUGUGAAAGCCCCGGGCUCAACCUGGGAAUUGCAUUUGAAACUGGCCAACUAGAGUAUGUGAGAGGGGGGUAGAAUUCCAAGUGUAGCGGUGAAAUGCGUAGAGAUUUGGAGGAAUACCAGUGGCGAAGGCGGCCCCCUGGCACAAUACUGACGCUCAGGUGCGAAAGCGUGGGGAGCAAACAGGAUUAGAAACCCUAGUAGUCC
rnacentral:rRNA from 1 species